GUGGGGAAUAUUGGGCAAUGGGCGCAAGCCUGACCCAGCAACGCCGCGUGAAGGAAGAAGGCUUUCGGGUUGUAAACUUCUUUUGCCAGGGACGAAACAAAUGACGGUACCUGGUGAAUAAGCCACGGCUAACUACGUGCCAGCAGCCGCGGUAAUACGUAGGUGGCGAGCGUUAUCCGGAUUUAUUGGGUGUAAAGGGCGUGUAGGCGGGACAGCAAGUCAGAUGUGAAAACCAGAGGCUCAACCUCUGGCCUGCAUUUGAAACUGUUGUUCUUGAGUGUCGGAGAGGUAAUCGGAAUUCCGUGUGUAGCGGUGAAAUGCGUAGAUAUACGGAGGAACACCAGUGGCGAAGGCGGAUUACUGGACGAUAACUGACGCUGAGGCGCGAAAGCGUGGGGAGCAAACAGGAUUAGAUACCCGUGUAGUCC
rnacentral:rRNA from 1 species